rnacentral:lncRNA from 1 species
GCUCUUGCACAUGGACAUCAAGCCAUGAAAGAAGGACUUGUUUUUUUUCAAUAAUUUCUAUCCCUUUCUUAUAUAACAUAAGGUUUUGGAUCUGUUCUUCUCAAAUAUUAUGUGCAUUAGAGUGCUUAGCUUCCAGAAAUGCCUCAGGACAGAAGCACAGAAAUAAUUUCUAAAAGCAGAAGCUACCUAGCUUGUUUUUACAAGCUUUUAGUUAUUGGAGACAGUGAUACAAAAACAUGGCUGUUAGUGGGACUGACUUCUUGCUGAAGGCUUUGAUUCUACAGAAAUUUGUUGAGAAGAAGACAUUUCCAGGCAUUGAAUUACACAUUGUUCAAACUUGUAAAGGUUUCUCAUUGACUGUGAUUGCAGCACCUACAUUUGUAAGUUUUAAUCUAAGGACUUUUUUUUUUUCCCUUUUUGGCAAUUGUGAUGAAGUCUAUCUGAGAAGGUGACAUGUUGGGGUAUACAAAAUAGUUUUAUUAUUGUUCAGUGGCUGGGAGAUGGUGUAUCGCAGGACUCUGCCUUUGGCCCAGUAAGGAGGCUGGAGCCCUUUUUCCGUUUUAUUCUCAAACACUAGAUUUUUUUCCUCACAAUACUAACUUAUUUGUGUUUUUAAACAGAAAUAUUUUUCUGAUGUAUAAAGAGUUGGAGUCACUUACAAUUCCUCAGCUAAUGGAAUAACAUUGUUUACUAAGCAUGUGGUUUCCUUUAUUCCUGUUCUAGAUACUGCAAAACUCAGCAUGAGCUGAAUGAGCUCUUGCGGGGGGGUGGGACAAACUAAUAGUAUUAAAACUAGCUUUUCAGCAAAGGCAUAAUCAAGCCACUGUCAAGCUCCCAUUGACUUUAUGGACUUUCAUAUCCCUUGAAUUAGAAAAAGUGGUGGUUACUAAUAAAGAGGACUUUAAGAAUGGCUUGUGCUAGUCU